rnacentral:other from 1 species
AUAGGCCUGUUCCGUGCGUGGAGAUAAAUAGACCUCUUGAGCCAACACUGAUAAUAUUGGGAACCAAGGCCGGGUAGGGCCAACAUGCCCGCCAAGUAUUGUGGCGGGAAGUUGAAACUAUUCGGGGAGGUUCCCACCUCUAAAAGAGGGUCUCAAAGAGGAAAUAUCUCUGCGGCGGAACGGGCUAAUU